UACAGAGGUCUCAAGCGUUUGUUCGGAUUCAUUGGGCGUAAAGGGCGCGUAGGCUGCGGGGCAAGUCGGGUGUGAAAUCUCAGAGCUCAACUCUGAAACUGCACUCGAUACUGCUUUGCUUGAGGACUGGAGAGGAGAUUGGAAUUCACGGUGUAGCAGUGAAAUGCGUAGAUAUCGGGAGGAACACCGGUGGCGAAGGCGGUUCUCUGGGCCUUACCUGACGCUGAGGAGCGAAAGCGUGGGGAGCGAACAGG
rnacentral:rRNA from 1 species